AAUGAACGUUGGCGGCGUGGAUUAGGCAUGCAAGUCGCGCGACAAGGAACCUUCGGGUUCUGGAGGAGCGGCAAACGGGGUAGUAAGGCAUCGGAACGUACCCUCUUGUUGGGAAUAGCCGCGGGAAACUGCGAGUAAUGCCUAAUAAUCCCUACGGGGCAAAGGUCCGCCGCAGGAGGAGCGGCCGAUGUGAUACCAGCUAGUUGGUGAGGUAAUGGCUCACCAAGGCUUAGACGUCUAGGGGGUNUGAGAGCAUGGGCCCCCCACACUGGGACUGAGAUACUGCCCAGACACCUACGGGUGGCUGCAGUCGAGAAUCUUCGGCAAUGGGCGGCAAGCCUGACCGAGCAACGCCGCGUGCGGGAUGAAGGCCCUUGGGUUGUAAACCGCUGUCAGGGGGGAUGAAAGCGCAAGCUUGACAGAGCCCCAGAGGAAGCACGGGCUAAGUUCGUG
rnacentral:rRNA from 1 species